GCAAGCGGUAGAGGAGCGUUCUGUAAGCGGUUGAAGGUGAAGGGGUAACCCACACUGGACGUAUCAGAAGUGCGAAUGCUGACAUGAGUAACGAUAAUGGGGGUGAAAAACCCCCACGCCGAAAGACCAAGGGUUCCUGUCCAACGUUAAUCGGGGCAGGGUGAGUCGACCCCUAAGGCGAGGCUGAAAGGCGUAGUCGAUGGGAAACAGGUCAAUAUUCCUGUACUUUUGCUAACUGCGAUGGAGAGACGGAGAAGGCUAGGCUAGCGCGGCGUUGGUUGUCCGCGUUUAAGGUUGUAGGCUGUUCACUUAGGCAAAUCCGGGUGAA
rnacentral:ncRNA from 1 species